CCUGAGUUCAUAAGACCUAGGAGCGUGUGGCCCCCCAGGCUGGCCCUGGGGAAAAUGAACUUCAUUGACAGAGGUCAGCCUCACGUCACAAGUGACCCAUUGGGCUGUGAUGCUGUGGAGACCUAGGAGGUGGGCCAGGUGUAUCCUCAGGGCUGGAAUGUAACCAACCAGACAGGUGACAGUACCAUCAGCUGAAGACUUAACCUGCCUGAGUGAUGUCUCAGCUGAGCCAAGCGUUCUGGCCGCAGUGAUUUUGGACAGCUCGAGCCAGCCCCGCCAGUACCAGGCAUUCCUGGUUCAGAAGAGAAAUUUCUCCAAGUCAAUCAGGGACUUCACCAAAAAGAGUCUUGUCACAAGUCGAUGUAAUCCAAGCCACAAUUAUGUAAAUUCAGAAUUAAAUCUUGUACAUUG
ensembl:lncRNA